rnacentral:rRNA from 1 species
UCUUGUAAUUGGAAUGAUGGUGACGUAAAAUCUCACCAGAGUAACAAUUGGAGGGCAAGUCUGGUGCCAGCAGCCGCGGUAAUUCCAGCUCCAAUAGCGUAUAUUAAACUUGUUGCAGUUAAAAAGCUCGUAGUUGAAUUUCUGCGUUGCCCGACUCGGCUACUUGCCUUGUCUGGUUUCGCUUUUGGGGUUUUCCCCUUUUUACUUUGAGAAAAUUAGAGUGUUUCAAGCAGACUUGUGUCUUGAAUACUUCAGCAUGGAAUAAUAAAGUAGGACUUUGGUUCUAUUUUGUUGGUUUGUGAACCUUAGUAAUGGUUAAUAGGAACGGUUGGGGGCAUUCGUAUUUAACUGUCAGAGGUGAAAUUCUUAGAUUUGUUAAAGACGAACUACUGCGAAAGCAUUUGCCAAGGACGUUUUCAUUAAUCAAGAACGAAAGUUAGGGGAUCGAAGACGAUCAGAUACCGUCGUAGUCCUAACCAUAAAC